UCAUGCCAUUGCACUCCAGCCUGGGUGACAGAGCGAGACUGUCUCAAAAAAAAAAAAAAAAUCUAUAUUCUGAGGCGCUACGAGCUAAAAUUAAUAGCAAACAUCAUUAAUGAAUGUUUGAUAAUCUGCCAAGCAUCAAAGUGCUAUAGAUGUAUAAUUUUACUUACCCCUUAUGGCUAUUUGAUAGAGGAACUAACAUUAUCCCCAUUUGAAAGACGAAGAAAGAGGAGCACAAAGACAUUGAGCAGAUUGCCCGAGGCUACCCAGCUAGUGAGUAGGAACAGGGACUUCAACCCAGCUUAUUGUGUCUUUUGAGAUAUAUUACCUCCCAGUCCUAAUGUGGUUAGAAUUCCCAGAAACCCAGAUCUGUAAAUGUCUGCAUGUGACUAUUCCAGUAGCAGAGCUGCACAUGAGACAGGCAGAAGGAUCAGCAAGUAUCAACUCGGGGACCUGCUAGCCAAACGUGGCACAGUCGAGCACUCUCUAUUUGUUCCUUCACUUUCCAGUUCUGUGGAGCUGUCUUGCCAAUAAAUAAAAGGAGGAAGAUUAAAGGAGAGAAGAUUUAAAGAGUGUGUGAAGAGCAAUUCAAAGUCUAGCACUGUUUCUGGAAAACAAUUUCAAGUUCAAGCCCAGUGAGGCCACUGCCAUGCACAGAAGACAGACAGCACCAUCAGACUGCAUAGUGUUAAAUGAUCGAUUUUUGGACUAUUCAAGCUUUUUAUAUCCAUUAACUCCAAUUAAUUGGAUGGACUUAUCUUCCUUGGUGACUUGGUUUAUCGUGUGAGCCAUUCUGGCAGAAGUUAGACUUCAUGUAACCCCAUAAUGAAUUCCUGUCUAGUAG
rnacentral:lncRNA from 1 species